UAGGUUGACAGUAUCCACUAUACAGUUAUGUUUUCUAAUUUCAUGUAUUUUAUUUUAGCCAAUGAUCAACAUACUUUAUUGCACAUAAUUCCCUUUUUUAUUCCAAAAUCUUAUUAACUUGGUUUUUCUUAUUUGAAAAUACUUCCAAGGUUUUCAUAAAAAACAAAAACAACAAAUAAGGACUCUGGCUACUCUCAGUCUUUACACAACUGGAAUGCUUUUUUUCUAAUCUUGUAUCAACUUUUAUGUUGAGAAAUGAGUUAAAUCAGAAUUUUAAAAAGAUUAAACAUACAGGGUUUGAUGGGUCUGCUUUGAUGUGUUGUUCUUCCCGCACGGACUUGGCCCAUUAGUGCCCCGGAGUUUGGGGGAGGGUCUCCUCCGCCCCCGACUCGGUGGACCGAUGGGAACUACAUUACCCAGGAGAUUGUGUGCGGACCGGCCUUGUUCUCCACACUAGUGAUGGACCCGAACAGGGGCUCUUCCGGGAUUGUGAACUAGGAGUGGGCGGGACUUCCGGAUCCUUCCUGAAGGAGGUCGUUUGGCUGCUUUUGCUGCCGUCUGCAGGACCCGAGGCUCAGGAUCACUCGGUGGAGCCGAGCUUAGAGAAACUGGAAAGAACCCGAGGGCCGCCGUCCACACUGCCCAGGAGUGAGCGGGUUGCGGAACCCACUUCCGGGAUUUUCGGCCUAGGUCUCCGCCAUUAUCCUGCGCGUCUCCUGGCACCACCGCGCCCACAGGGUCCUAUGUCAACCAACGCGGUGCAGGACCCGGCCCAGAGUCCAUGGCUUUGCUUUUCAUUGGCUGAGUCCUUUCCAGGAAAGAAGGAGUCUUCAUCCUUUUGGAUUCCGUUAUUGUUUCAGGUUCCCAUGGUAGCAGCAGCAUUUAUGGCCCCUGGACAGGGCCAUGUGAUCUUUGAGGAUGUGGCUGUGUCCUUCUCCCAGGAGGAGUGGGGUCUCCUUAACAAUGCUCAGAGACUCCUGUACUGUGACGUGAUGCUGGAGAACCUGUCACUUAUAGCCUCCCUGGGUUGUUGGCAUGGAGUAGAAGCUGAGGAGGCCGUUUCUGAACAAUGUGUUUCUGUAGAACAAGUGACGGAAAACAGGAAUCCAAAGCUGGAGCCAUCUAUCCUGAAGACUCUUACUUCUGUUACGAGUGUCCUGGUGGAGAAAGAUGUUUUGUACUUGGCUGACAAUAUGUUCACGUGCGGAGAGGUUGAGAAGGCUUUCCUAGGCAGCUUGGGCUUUCCCCAGCACCAGCCCUCCCAUGAUGGAGAGCAUCCACAUAGAAGCAGGCAGAGCAGGGAGGUCUCUCACCCUGGGCAAGGGCAUCACAAGUGCAGCGAAUGUGGUAAAGCCUUCAGUAAAAAGUUUAAAUUCAUGGAGCACCUGAGAGUUCACACUGGAGAAAAACCUUAUGAGUGCAGUGACUGCGGGAAGUUCUUUAGACACAGCUCCAGUCUUAUUCAUCAUCGGAAAGUUCACACAGGAGAAAGGCCUUAUGAAUGCUGUAAUUGUGGGAAAGUCUUUGCCCACAAAUAUAAACUUUUUGAGCACCAGAGAAUCCACACUGGAAAAAGACCAUAUGAGUGUAAUGAAUGUGGGAAAGCCUUCCUUCGCAAGGAUUCACUUGUUCAGCACCAAAAAAUCCACACUGGAGAAAAUCCUCAUAAGUGCGGUGAAUGUGGAAAGUACUUCCUGUACAAAAAUAACCUUCUUGUGCACCAGAGGAUCCACAGUGGAGAAAGGCCUUAUGGGUGUAGCAAAUGUGGAAAGUCCUUUGUCUUCAAAAAAAGGCUUCUUUAUCACCAGCGAAUCCACACUGGAGAAAGGCCUUACAUGUGCAGUGAAUGUGGGAAAGCCUAUGUCUACAAAGGAAGUCUUAUUGUGCAUAAGAGAAUUCACACUUUAGAGAAGGCUUAUGGGUGUAACAAAUGUGGGAAAUUCUUUACAAGCAGUUUUGCCCUCAAUAGACAUGAGAAUGUUCACACUGCACAAAGGUGUUAUGAGUGCAGCGAAUGUGGGAAAGCUCUCAACGGCAAAGUUAAACUUGCUGAGCACCAGAGAAUCCAUACUGGAGAAAGACCCUAUAAGUGUAAUGAAUGUGAGAAAGCCUUCAUGCGCAAGUAUACACUUGUUCAGCACCAAAAAGUCCACACUGGAGUAAAGCCUUUUAAAUGCAGUGAAUGUGGGAAGCCCUUCACUUACAAAACAAGUCUUGUUGUCCACCAGAGAAUCCACACUGGAGAAAGGCCUUAUAUGUGCAGUGAAUGUGGGGAAGUCUUUGUCUACAGAAGAAGUCUUGUUGUCCAUCAGAGAAUCCACACUAGAGAAAAGCCUUAUGAAUGUAGUUCUUUGUAAGCAGCUCCAAGCUCACAAAAAACAAAGUUCACACUGGGGCAAUGCCUUCUGGACUUAUGCUUUCCUUCACUUGAGUUAAUAUCUAGCAGCACAACUCCUAUGUAGUAGAGUAGGUGAAUGUAUACCUUAUAUGUGGCCAGUCAAACUUUUCUAAAAUGGGAGUACCUUUUUAUAGUCUCACGAGAAGCAGCAGAACAUGAGUUCCUGUUUUUUACAUUUUUACCAACACUUGACACUGUCAGUGCACUUACAGGUGAUGUGGUAAUCACCUCCAAGAGCAGAUGACAUCGUUGGGUUCUAAACAUUUUUCUCGGGCUUUUGUGUCCCCAUUGCAGACUCUCAGUUUCUGCCACGGCAGUCCUUGUUACGGGAGCAAAUACACAUUUGAGUCUAGAUUGUGUAACUAUGAUCAUUCUAAAAAAGUCCAUCAAAGGGCUUCCCUGGUAGUGCAGUGGUUAAGAAGCCACCUGCCAAUGCAGGCGACAAGGGUUUGAUCCCUGGUUCGGGAAGAUCCCACAUGCCGUGGAGCAACUAAGCCCAGGUACCACAACUACUGAGCCUGUGCUCUAGAGCCUGCAAGCCACAACUACUGAGCCCACAUGCCACAACUACUGAAGCCCAUGUGCAUAGAGCCUGUGCUCCACAACAAGAGAAGCCACCACAAUGAGAAGCCCGUGCACUGCAAUGAAAAGUAGCCCCUGCUCACCACAACUAGAGAAGACCCAUGCGCAGCAGCAAAGACCCAAUGCAGCCAAAAAUAAAUAAAUAAAUUUAUUUUUUAAAUACAAUAAAAUUAAAAAGUCCAUCAAAGAAUAAAACUUCUCACUUGUUUUACAAUAAAUAAAUAAAUCAGAGUCCUACAUUGAAAUGCCUAAAGUCUGUUUCACUUGGCUGUUUGACUGACUCUAAAACAAAAUAUGUUCAGAAGUGAGACUCUAAUAUUUCCUCCUAACCUCCUCCAUGAAUACCACCACUACCCUUUCUAUCUCAGUUAAUGACAAAUCCAUCCUUCCGGCUUGGACAAAAACCUUGAGUCAUCUUGAUUACUGUAGUGUGAGGCUGAUUAGGAGGUGAAGCCAUGUUCUGAUCUGAGGACUUGGAGCUGUGUAACCACAAUCAUGUGCAUAUCCUCAGUAAUAA